UCGGACACUACUGAGCAACUGAACUGAACUGAACUGAACUGAAACUCCCAAAAGCAGCUUAAUUGGCUAAAUCUGUCUCCUUCCCAGGAGCCUAAACUCCCCAAGUUCUAACAUGGGUGGCUCCCUGUCUCUCUGGUGGAUGCACCACUUAACUGCAGUCCCUAUGUUGUGUCUGACUCUGCAACUCCAUGAACUGCAGCACACCAAGCCUCUCUG